rnacentral:rRNA from 1 species
UACGGAGGGUGCAAGCGUUAAUCGGAAUUACUGGGCGUGAAGCGUGCGCAGGCGGUUUGUUAAGUCUGUUGUGAAAUCCCCGAGCUCAACUUGGGAAUUGCAAUGGAUACUGGCAGGCUGGAGUAUGGUAGAGGAAGGUGGAAUUCCCGGUGUAGCAGUGAAAUGCGUAGAUAUUCGGAAGAACACCAGUGGCGAAGGCGGCUCACUGGACUGGUAUUGACGCUGAGGUGCGAAAGCGUGGGGAGCAAACAGG